UACGUAGGAGGCAAGCGUUGUCCGGAGUUACUGGGCGUAAAGCGCACGCAGGCGGUCGCAUUAGUCUGGGGUGACAGUUCCCGGCUUAACCGGAAAAGGACUCUGGAAACUGUGCGACUUGAGGGCUUCAGAGGGAUGUGGAAUUCCUGGUGUAGCGGUGAAAUGCGUAGAGAUCAGGAAGAACACCGGUGGCGAAAGCGUUCUGCUAGACCUGUACUGACACUGAGGGACGAAAGCUAGGGGAGCGAAUGGG
rnacentral:rRNA from 1 species